GAGGGGCAGCAUGGACUUAGCUUGCUAAGUUCGAUGGCGACCGGCGCACGGGUGAGUAACACGUAUCCAACCUGCCUUCAACUCAGGGAUAGCCUUUCGAAAGAAAGAUUAAUACUUGAUGGCAUAACCUGGUCUCCUGACUUGGUUAUUAAAGAAUUUCGGUUGAAGAUGGGGAUGCGUUCCAUUAGGCAGUUGGCGGGGUAACGGCCCACCAAACCUACGAUGGAUAGGGGUUCUGAGAGGAAGGUCCCCCACAUUGGAACUGAGACACGGUCCAAACUCCUACGGGAGGCAGCAGUGAGGAAUAUUGGUCAAUGGACGAGAGUCUGAACCAGCCAAGUAGCGUGAAGGAUGACUGCCCUAUGGGUUGUAAACUUCUUUUAUAUGGGAAUAAAGUUCAGUAUGUAUACUGUUUUGUAUGUACCAUAUGAAUAAGGAUCGGCUAACUCCGUGCCAGCAGCCGCGGUAAUACGGAGGAUCCGAGCGUUAUCCGGAUUUAUUGGGUUUAAAGGGAGCGUA
rnacentral:rRNA from 1 species